rnacentral:lncRNA from 10 species
GUCGAGUCGGGCAAACGCCCUCCCAGCCUUUAGCCAAUCGGAUGCCUAAAGACGAGACUAUACCUGGAGGAAGGAGGCGCGGCGCCGGAGGGGAGACGCGACCAAUGGGAAAUCACAGCGCGUCCUUGCGGCAGCCAAUAGGAGAGCAGUAAAGAGGGGGCUGCUGGCCACUGCUCUGGGGACCGGAAGUGGAGGCGGCUCGUCGCCUACUGGUAGCGCAAUUAGAGGCGGGCAUUGUAGGUUACAUGCCUAAAGCCACUUCCGGUGAUGGCCCCGCCCAGGAGGUACUUCUGAAACAGGUCCCCAGUGGCACCUCAGUUUAUCCAUUCCCGUUUUGGUUUCGCAGCUGUCAUCCGGUCCCAACGCCAGAAUAGGAGAAAAACCUGCAGGCUAAGAGAGAAGGGAGGGCUGGGCCUGAGGUUCAGUCUUGGUCAUCUCCGACUGGCGGCGCUAGGAUUUCCCCCUUCCUGUGUCUUGAUGGGUUCCUCCAACACUCACUUUGUAUCGAUAAACGACCCUGCAGUUCUUCACGACCUGCAUUGCGCUGGCAGUCCUGAGUGAAGAACUCUCCUCUCAUCCCAGAGAUGGGAAACCUGGAUCUGAGACUGCCAGCUAGCUGCGGCCUCCUAGUCUGUAAAGCGAAGGGAGACCAGGACGCUCCCAAGGACCCGGCUUAUCGCCCCUCCCUUUCCUUCCCGGGGACCCAGAACAGACCACAAGACGGAGGGUGGCCGCUGGAGGUCGCCGUGGCCCCGCGAUACCACCAACCGACAGAAAUGGAGAACAGUUGAUUCAGAUUCAGCUGAUAUUCUCAGGUCUGGAGCGGGCCUGAGCGCUUUAAUUAGCCCGGGGCUAAUGUCCUCACCCAUCUUUGUUUAUAGAACGUUGAAACUCCAGUACUGUUGCACCAAGAAGUUUCCGGUCCCGGUACAGAUCAGUGAGGAAGAGGCUAUUGACAAGUGUGGAUUUGCCCAGGCCAGACUCUCCUGAGAGGAGAGAGGACAGAGGCACCAAAUCAGAAGGGACCCUUCUCUGGGCUGUCUGAUAGUCUGCAGAGACACAGCUGCUUCCGUGCUCUAGGAGAGAGGGACUCCUUGGAGAUCUGAUCUCACUAGUAGUCGUAAUUCUUUGGAUGGGCUCAGUUUGUACUGCUUCAUCCUUUGGAGAAGGCUCCAGACCCUCCUUUACUCUCCCGAGAUUCUAGAAAUUCUCAGGACUCAUCCAGAGAAGGAAUCAGCCAGAAGAUCCUAUGAAGACAAGAUCAAACCAAACACGCUGUGUUCGCCCCAGUUUUAAUAAGAAAUCUGACUGAAAACAAAUGGUUGAAUGUGCUGCUAACAGAGAGGGCCAAACGAUGAUGUCUAUUGUGGCAGCUGAACAAAGUGAGACUUACAGAACUGGAACUGCUGCCCUGACAGCAACUGAAGCAGAAAGAGAAGAAAGGAGCUUACAACCAGGACACUCAAACUCAGGCCAGGAGUCCGUCUAUGAUCCAAUUCCAAUCAGUCUGACAAGUCACUCUGAUCCAGCACGAUUAUCCUAUGCACAUGUUUUUUAAAGAACAAAAAAGGAAGUUUCGAGUUGGUAUGUGUGUUUUUUAAAGACACAAACCACAUCCUCUUUCUAUUCAAUUAAAUUCAAGGGAAAGGAAUUUUGGUCUUUAUAAUCAAGGGCGAUUAUAACCAACAGUGUGUCAUGGAAAUGCAAAAUGACUACAGAGCAAUUGACAGCAGCAUCUUCUGUAUUCUCUCCAUAUUAAACCUGUUCUUUUUUUUUUUUUGAGACGGAGUCUUGCUCUUAUCCCCCAGGUGGAGUGCAAUGGCGCGACCUCGGCUCACUGCAACCUCUGCCUUCCGGGUUUAAGCGAUUGUCCUGCCUCAGCCUCCUGAGUAGCUGGGAUUACAGGUGCCUGCCACCAUGCCCGGCUAAUUUUUGUAUUUUUAGUAGAGACGGGGUUUCACCAUGUUGGCCAGGCUGGUCUCGAACUCCUGACCUCAGGUGAUCUGCCCGCCUCGGCCUCCCAAAGUGCUGGGAUUACAAGUAUGAGCCACCGUGCCUGGCCUAAAACUGUUCUUAUGCUGACUCUAUCACUUAUUGAAUCAAAGUUGGCAUUAAUUUCACUUUAUAGUUUAAUUAACUAUAAACACUAACAUUUUAAAAAUUAAGCAACUUUGUCUAAAUUGGAGUCUUUGUCAUUAAUGUGUAUUUAGACACUGGUAAAUGUUUUUAAGUCUGCUUCUGUUGUCUAUAAACAUGACUUUUGAUCUACAAACAUCUGAUAUUUCAUUACCUGGAUGAUUCGGACCAACCUAGUCGCUUCCAAAAACAGGAUUUUAGUUCAUCUUGAUGAAAUAUAAGAGGAAGGAAAAAACAACAUGAUUAAUUUCUAGGUCAAAGGGUGCCAGUAUUCAUAUUAGUGCUCCCUCUAAUUUAGAGUAGACUGUUUUACCUACAAUGGUUGUUAUAUUCUGCCAGAUAGACUCUUUCUAAAAACACAAUUAAUGGGCUUCCCCUCCUAACAUUCUAUAGUUUUCUGCCACAGCAAUGGGCGCUAAUGACACUAAUUCACAAAGUCCCUGUAUUAUCUUCUCAGUGAAAUCAAUACUAUUAAUAGCUAAAUGCCUACACGUUCUGGGCCCUGUGCAGUCAGGGUUCUGGAGGAAACAGAAUGUACCCACGGCUGGUUCAAAUAAAGAUCCUUAGUGAAGUGACUACAUACAGAGGUUUAUUUAGAGUUAAGGGAACAAACAAGGAAUGUCAAGGCAUCCAGUGAUUAGCAGCAGUGGGAAGCCUAAGUCUGAAGGAACUGAGUGUUGGAGAUGAGAGGUCAGUUACUAGACCUUAAUGAGAGCUGGAAUUGGGAAGAAUGGACUGCCUACAGAAGCCGCACUUGUGGAGAGACACCACUUCUACCAGGCACAAGGUGCUGAAGUAAGCAGUGAGGCAAAGUAAUACCCCAAAUUCUCUCUAGCCCCACUAAUCUUCUGCUGGGGCCUGUCAUUGGCAAACAGGAAGCCCAGGAGAUGCAGUCCACUAGGGUCAGCAUUCUGGGGCACAAAGCAGGGCAGAGAUGGGGAGAAUGAGAAGGAAAUCAGGAAGAGGUGAAAGGAAUACCAGAUGAUCUGAAAGAGUUAAAGUCUCUUACUUUCCUGAGUAGGAAGAACUUAAAUAUGGGAGAGCGUCAUUGUAAAGGGCAUAUCAGAAGCCUUCAAAAUCUAUCAAAAUAGUUUUAAAAUUAAGGUUAAUUUAUAAUUUUCACAUUACUUGUAGACUCCACUUAAAUUCCAUAAAAUAUGAUUUAUUACUGGAUUUUGAAGCAUCUAUGUGAGCUAAAUUUAAAACUCUUUGGAAGACGUUGGACAAUUAGAAG